UGGGGAAUAUUGGACAAUGGGCGAAAGCCUGAUCCAGCCAUGCCGCGUGAGUGACGAAGGCCUUAGGGUUGUAAAACUCUUUCGUCGGGGACGAUAAUGACGGUACCCGAAGAAGAAGCCACGGCUAACUCUGUGCCAGCAGCCGCGGUAAUACAGAGGUGGCGAGCGUUAUUCGGAAUUAUUGGGCGUAAAGGGCGCGUAGGCGGCCAGAUAAGUCCCGGGUGAAAUCCCUCGGCUCAACCGAGGAACUGCCUUGGAAACUGUCUGGCUCGAGGCCGGGAGAGGGUAGUGGAAUUCCCAGUGUAGCGGUGAAAUGCGUAGAUACUGGGAGGAACACCGGUGGCGAAGGCGGCUACCUGGACCGGUUCUGACGCUGAUGCGCGAAAGCGUGGGGAGCAAACAGGAUUAGAUACCCAAGUAGUCCCUGAGCGGGCUGGCAAGGCGCAU
rnacentral:rRNA from 1 species